GUAUUUUCAGGAGACUGAGAAGCUCAGACCCCAGCUCAGACCCCUCAGCUCCUUCACAUAUUUUAUCCCCUCUCUCCUCUGCUCCAAUUGGCUCCCACACUAAGGCACAGACACAGCUCUCUGAAAUCUAAGUGGGGGCCACACUUUGGUGGAUGAGAGGAAACCGGGGCAACCGUGGAGCAAUGCUGGAACUACCAUUCCCGCACUGAGGGACACAAAACAGGAAUACACAGUGGGGCACAGUGUCAACACCAUGAUACACACAAUCAGCCACUCGCCAACCCAGGGAACCUGCACCAACACAUCACAGCACCACCAUCUCACUGGUGACGAAGCUUGACCCCACAUCCAACCACAACAGGAACUGAGUUUGACUUUUAGUGCUGAAUUAAUUGCUAAUUAAAGAAAAAGGAAGAAAUGGUAACGCUUGCAGUGUCAUACCCCAC
ensembl:lncRNA